UUCACUCUUUUUUCUCUCCAGCCAUCUGCC
rnacentral:piRNA from 1 species